UACGGAGGGAGCUAGCGUUGUUCGGAAUUACUGGGCGUAAAGCGCGCGUAGGCGGCUUUGUAAGUUAGAGGUGAAAGCCCGGGGCUCAACUCCGGAACUGCCUUUAAGACUGCAUCGCUUGAAUCCGGGAGAGGUGAGUGGAAUUCCGAGUGUAGAGGUGAAAUUCGUAGAUAUUCGGAAGAACACCAGUGGCGAAGGCGGCUCACUGGACCGGUAUUGACGCUGAGGAGCGAAAGCGUGGGGAGCGAACAGG
rnacentral:rRNA from 1 species